GGCAACCCUGGCGGCGAGUGGCGAACGGGUGAGUAAUAUAUCGGAACGUACCCAAGAGUGGGGAUAACGUAGCGAAAGUUACGCUAAUACCGCAUACGAUCUACGGAUGAAAGCAGGGGACCGCAAGGCCUUGUGCUCGUGGAGCGGCCGAUAUCUGAUUAGCUAGUUGGUAGGGUAAAGGCCUACCAAGGCAUCGAUCAGUAGCUGGUCUGAGAGGACGACCAGCCAAACUGGGACUGAGACACGGCCCAGACUCCUACGGGAGGCAGCAGUGGGGAAUUUUGGACAAUGGGCGCAAGCCUGAUCCAGCAAUGCCGCGUGAGUGAAGAAGGCCUUCGGGUUGUAAAGCUCUUUUGUCAGGGAAGAAACGGGUUUGGCUAAUAUCCAGAUCUAAUGACGGUACCUGAAGAAUAAGCACCGGCUAACUACGUGCCAGCAGCCGCGGUAAUACGUAGGGUGCAAGCGUUAAUCGGAAUUACUGGGCGUAAAGCGUGCGCAGGCGGCUUUGCAAGACAGAUGUGAAAUCCCCGGGCUUAACCUGGGAACUGCAUUUGUGACUGCAUGGCUGGAGUGCGGCAGAGGGGGAUGGAAUUCCGCGUGUAGCAGUGAAAUGCGUAGAUAUGCGGAGGAACACCGAUGGCGAAGGCAAUCCCCUGGGCCUGCACUGACGCUCAUGCACGAAA
rnacentral:rRNA from 1 species